GAAGGAUAUCAUCCGGUCAACUUUGACAGAGACACCCGUGGAACCGAAAAAUUCUCUCGCAUUAUGCGCUCUGACGAUAAAUUUGCUCGCAUUAUGCGCCCUGACGAAAAAUUCGCUCGAAUUAUGCGCUCCGAUGACAAAUUCUCUCGCAUUAUGCGCUCUGACGACAAAUUUUCCCGGAUUAUGCGCUCUGACAAAUUUGCGCGAAUUGUUCGCGAUAAUACCAAACUUCUCCGGAUUCUGAGAAGCAUAGAAAGUGCUCCGGGAGCAUUCCUGGAAGGCUCCGGCUCCGGGAAUACUCAAUAUACGGAGUCCAGGGUACUCCGAAGUCCUGAGAUAAAAUUUACCCGAAUUUUGAGAUCUGGGGCUGAGUUGGCUGAUCAAGAGAAUCUCUAGAUAGAUAUAUAUUUGGAGAAACCUGGAGGAGAUUGUACUAAAGAUGCUGGUACAGUGUACAGUGUACAGCUUACACUGUACAAAUUACAAUCUGUACUGCAUUUAGUACAUGUGUUCUUUGUAUUAAACCAUGUUACAAUUUUACAUUAAAUAAAAAGACAUGUAUCUAUCUA